UACGUAGGGUGCGAGCGUUAAUCGGAAUUACUGGGCGUAAAGCGUGCGCAGGCGGUUCGUUGUGUCGGUGGUGAAAUCCCCCGGGCUUAACCUGGGAAUGGCCAUGGAAACUGGCGAACUGGAGUGUGGCAGAGGGGGGUGGAAUUCCGCGUGUAGCAGUGAAAUGCGUAGAGAUGUGGAGGAAUACCGAUGGCGAAGGCAGCCCCCCUGGGCCAAUACUGACGCUCAUGCACGAAAGCGUGGGGAGCAAACAGG
rnacentral:rRNA from 1 species